rnacentral:rRNA from 1 species
UACGGGGGGGCGAAGCGUUGUUCGGAAUUACUGGGCGUAAAGGGCCAGUAGGCGGCCAACUAAGUCGGAUGUGAAAUCCCCAGGCUUAACCUGGGAACUGCAUCCGAUACUGGAUGGCUUGAAUUCGGGAGAGGGAUGCAGAAUUCCAGGUGUAGCGGUGAAAUGCGUAGAUAUCUGGAGGAAUACCGGUGGCGAAGGCGGCAUCCUGGACCGACAUUGACGCUGAACGGCGAAAGCUAGGGGAGCAAACGGG